UUUUAUGUAGUUUACUAAUAAAAACAUUACAUUUUCAAUGUAAAAAUAACAAUAUAAUUUGUUUAUAAAAU
rnacentral:tRNA from 1 species